rnacentral:rRNA from 1 species
GAUAACAGGCUGAUCUUCCCCAAGAGUCCAUAUCGACGGGAUGGUUUGGCACCUCGAUGUCGGCUCGUCGCAUCCUGGGGCUGGAGUCGGUCCCAAGGGUUGGGCUGUUCGCCCAUUAAAGCGGUACGCGAGCUGGGUUUAGAACGUCGUGAGACAGUUCGGUCCCUAUCCGCUGUGCGCGUAGGAGUCUUGAGAAGGGCUGUCCCUAGUACGAGAGGACCGGGACGGACGAACCUCUGGUGUGCCAGUUGUUCUGCCAAGGGCAUGGCUGGUUGGCUACGUUCGGGAGGGAUAACCGCUGAAAGCAUCUAAGCGGGAAGCCUGCUUCGAGAUGAGGGCUCCCACCCACUUGAUGGGGUAAGGCUCCCAGUAGACGACUGGGUUGAUAGGCCGGAUAUGGAAGCACGGUAACGUGUGGAGUUGACCGGUACUAAUAGGCCGAGGGCUUGUCCUCAGUUG